rnacentral:misc_RNA from 1 species
CCUGCAUUGUAUUGUCAAGCCAGUAACAAUGUCUUCAACUGCACAUCCAUAUACCAAUCCUAUCUCUUUGCCCCAUAGAGUGUCCUUCUCAUAGCUGCAACUAGAAACAACUUUUGAAGCUUCUUCAAGUUCAUUAACAGUCUUUUUAUCAUUCUUUUUAGUAUAAUUAGUGUCCAAUCUCAAUUUAUUGUCCUCAGAGUAACUAUUUCCACAGAGGCUCUCUCUUCUAUGGAAGCAUCCAGUGCCACAGUACAAUGCUGAACCAUAUCCACCCAUGCCAGCAAGCUCAACCUUAUUAGCAACAUUGUAUGAAUUAGCAUAGAGGUCAUUCUUGGUGAUGUUGUUAAAGGUUUGAGGAUGUUGCACAUAAGCAAUUUCAUGGCCUUUCUCCUCAUCCAUGAAGAAACAGAGAGCUUCUCUAAUUGCAUCUGAAUCAUUC